GGAAGUGGGAUGUAGCUCAAUGGUAGAGCAUUUGCUUUGCAGGCAGAAGGUCCUUGAUUCAAUAUCUGCUGCUGUCUUCUCCA